rnacentral:rRNA from 1 species
GGUCAAGUUAUUAAGGGUGCAGGGCGGAUGCCUUGGCACUAGGAGCCGAUGAAGGACGUGAUAAGCUGCGAUAAGCUUCGGGGAGUUGCACGUAAACUUUGAUCCGAAGAUUUCCGAAUGAGGAAACUCACUUAGAGUAAUGUCUAAGUAUCAUUAAGUGAAUACAUAGCUUAAUGAGGGGAACUCAGGGAACUGAAACAUCUAAGUACCUGAAGGAAGAGAAAGAAAUUCGAUUCCGUAAGUAGCGGCGAGCGAACGCGGAUUAGCCCAAACCAAUAAAGUUUUCUUUAUUGGGGUUGCGGACAUAUCAUAACGAAGAGGUAUCGUAAUUGAAGAGGUUUGGAAAGACCCACCACAGAAGGUAAUAGUCCUGUAUGUUAAACGAGAAGACUUUAGAUAUGAUCCAGAGUACCACGGGACACGUGAAACCCUGUGGGAAGCAGGAGGGACCACCCUCCAAGGCUAAAUACUACCUAGUGACCGAUAGCGUAUAGUACCGUGAGGGAAAGGUGAAAAGAACCCCGGGAGGGGAGUGAAAUAGAACCUGAAACCCUGCACUUACAAGCUGUGGAAGCACAUUUCUUGUGUGACCGCGUACUUUUUGUAGAACGGGCCAACGAGUUACGUUAAGUAGCAAGGUUAAGCACUUAAGGUGCGGAGCCGUAGCGAAAGCGAGUUUUAACUGAGCGUUCAGUUACUUGACGUAGACCCGAAACCGGGCGACCUACCCAUGAGCAGGAUGAAGCGAAAGUAAAAUUUCGUGGAGGUCCGAACCCACGAGCGUUGAAAAGCUCGGGGAUGACUUGUGGGUAGCGGUGAAAUUCCAAUCGAGCCCGGAGAUAGCUGGUUCUCCCCGAAAUAGCUUUAGGGCUAGCCUCAAGGUGAGAGAUACGGAGGUAGAGCACUGAAUGUCCUAGGGGGUAUUGCACCUACCGAAGACUAUCAAACUCCGAAUGCCGUCAUCUUAUACUUGGGAGUCAGACUGUGGGUGAUAAGAUUCAUAGUCGAAAGGGCAACAGCCCAGAUCGUCAGCUAAGGUCCCUAAAUGUAAGUUAAGUGGUAAAGGAUGUGGGAUUGCACAGACAACCAGGAUGUUGGCUUAGAAGCAGCCACUCAUUCAAAGAGUGCGUAAUAGCUCACUGGUCGAGUGAUCCUGCGCCGAAGAUUUCCGGGGCUAAAACUUACUACCGAAGCUACGGCAUCAGUAAUGAUGGGUAGGGGAGCUUCCCAUACGGGUUGAAGCAUGACCGUAAGGACAUGUGGACAGUAUGGGAGUGAGAAUGUUGGCAUGAGUAGCGAGAUGUGGGUGAGAAUCCCACAGGCCGUAAACCCAAGGUUUCCAGGGGAAGGUUCGUCCGCCCUGGGUUAGUCGGGACCUAAGCUGAGGCCGAAAGGCGUAGGUGAUGGACAACAGGUUGAUAUUCCUGUACUACCGAUAACCGUUUGAGAGAAGGGAUGACACAGUAGGAUAAGCUAAGCACACUGUUGGUUAUGUGUGCCCAAGCAUUGAGGCAGUCAAAGUAGGCAAAUCCGCUUUGAUAAUGCUGGGAUGUGAUGGGGAGCGAAAUUUAGUAGCGAAGUAGCUGAUUUCACACUGUCAAGAAAAGUCUCUAUCGAGGUUAAAGGUACCCGUACCGCAAACCGACACAGGUGGGUGAGGAGAGUAUCCUAAGGCCAGCGAGAGAACUGUUGUUAAGGAACUCGGCAAAAUGACCCCGUAACUUAGGGAUAAGGGGUGCCACCAUCAGGUGGCCGCAGAGAAUAGGCCCAAGCGACUGUUUACCAAAAACAUAGGUUUCUGCUAAGUCGCAAGACGAUGUAUAGGAGCUGACGCCUGCCCGGUGCUGGAAGGUUAAGGGGAUCUGUUAGAGCAAUCGAAGCAGUGAACUUAAGCCCCAGUAAACGGCGGCCGUAACUAUAACGGUCCUAAGGUAGCGAAAUUCCUUGUCGGGUAAGUUCCGACCCGCACGAAAGGCGUAACGAUUUGGGCACUGUCUCAACAACAGACUCGGUGAAAUUGUAAUUCCGGUGAAGAUGCCGGAUACCUGCGACAGGACGGAAAGACCCCAUGGAGCUUUACUGUAGCUUGACAUUGGGUCUUGGUACUACAUGUACAGGAUAGGUGGGAGGCUUUGAAACCAGGACGCCAGUUUUGGCGGAGCCAUCCUUGGGAUACCACCCUUGUAGUACUGGGACUCUAACCAUAGGCCAUGAAUCUGGUCUUGGGACACUGUCAGGUGGGCAGUUUGACUGGGGCGGUCGCCUCCCAAAAGGUAACGGAGGCGCUCAAAGGUUCUCUCAGUACGGUCGGAAAUCGUACGUAGAGUGUAAAGGCAAAAGAGAGCUUGAUUGCAAGACAUACAGGUCGAGCAAGGAUGAAAAUCGGACUUAGUGAUCCGGUGGUUCUGCGUGGAAGGGCCAUCGCUCAACGGAUAAAAGCUACCCUGGGGAUAACAGGCUUAUCUCCCCCAAGAGUCCACAUCGACGGGGAGGUUUGGCACCUCGAUGUCGGCUCAUCACAUCCUGGGGCUGUAGUAGGUCCCAAGGGUUGGGCUGUUCGCCCAUUAAAGUGGUACGCGAGCUGGGUUCAGAACGUCGUGAGACAGUUCGGUCCCUAUCCGUCGCAGGCGUAGGAAAUUUGAGAAGACCUGUCCUUAGUACGAGAGGACCGGGAUGGACG